AGGAAACUUUUAAACCAAAAUUGGGAUUGCGAUUAUUAAUUUAUCCAAUUAGGGAUUGACGGUGGAAGAAGUUUCUUCUAGGAUUCGUCCAAAGUGCAAUCCAUUUCACAAAUUGGGGUUUCAUUUUAGGGAUUUAUGGUUUAAUCCAAGUUGACCUUGAAGAUGCAUCCAUGUUCGUCUUUGUCAUGUAGUGGGUAGCGGAAGGAAGACGACAAAGUUGGGAAAUCAAAUUAAAUUACUCUACAAUUGCCAAAUCGAAAUCAAAUUGGGGAAGGUAUCGUAGGAACGAAAGACGACUCUGGCAGUGAUGGCGUGGCAACGGUCUGGAGAUGGCGUGACCAAGCGGUGUUCGUGCUGGUUUGCGGUGGCGAGUUGGACGUUCUUCUUCUUUUUCCCUUUCCCUCUUUUCUUGUGCUGAUUCGCGUCACAAGGGAGGGAGUUUCUUCCCCUUUCUCUUUCUGGUUCAGUUCUGGUUGCAAGGAGGAGGAUGCGAAACCGACGCUUCAAACGCAACGUUCAUCUUGAUGCCUCUACGGUGACGAGGGUUUUUGCGUUUCGUGGCCAGGGUUUUCAUUUCGGGUUUUUGAGUUCUCUCUUCUCGUGCGAGGCUCGCGAAUUGGGGGUGGUGAUUUUUUAUUCCCUUUUAGCAUAUUGUAAAACGAUUUGGGGGUUCAACUGUUGCAAUUUUGGGGUUAGGUUCUGAAAUUGGAUUUGGGAAUUUCUUUGAAGGGUUUUAAUUGGGGAAUUAUUGGGAUUUCUCUUUCUCUCGUACGAACCCUAAUUCAGAGUCCCAAAUUUUUUUUCCCGAUCU